CGAUGGACGGCGAGAGGAGGCGUUGCAGGAGGAAGUUGGCGGCGCGCCGGUGGAGUCGGCAAGGCGGAGGGCGGCGGCGCGUCGCCACAGCCGGCUGCUGCGUUUCGGAGGAGGCGCAGCAGGAGCUGGCUGCUCACCUGGCAGCGCCUCUCCCAUCACCCGCAGGCCGCAGCGGACGAGAGGCCAAGCAGGGGAAGAUGGGGGUGGAGACUGAAGGCCACGACCACCACGCGGGCGCAGCAGAUGGCGAGGACAAGGGAGGCGGCGACCCCCACGCCCUCUCAUCCCUUACCCAUGUUGGGUGCCCAGGAGACAGAAACAUUGCUAUCCAUGUGUCCUGCUGCACGUGUUGCCGCUUCUGAAGCGAUGGAGAGGAGCAACGGAUGGGAACAUGGGGUGCUUGAUAGGAGUGGAUUAAUUAGGUACGAGCCCAAGCGGAAGGCUUCAGGCACGCCUCACUUAGGUGGAAAGAGAUGGAAUAAAUAAAUAAAAGAACGGAAUUCACAACAGGAUCUGUCUUGGUCUAGGUAGAAGAAUUUGCUGCAAGCUGUUGGCCAUCGUGGCCCAAAGCACCAGAAGGAGUACUUAGCGGGAGCGAGCUAGGUGGAGGCGUGAAUUGAGCGCUGGUGCCGUGGAAGCGAGCGUGGGUCACGGGCGCAGCUGAGCGGUCACCAGCGUCUGAAUAAAUUCCACCUGCAACACUAAUAAAUGCACAAUCAGAGAGAAAUGUUGAGAAAAUAGAGGGCAACAAGUGCCUCGCAACUGGCUGAAAAAUCGCACCGAAUGGAGAGAGCGUUGCGUCGACCAGGGACCUGAUCGGGUGUAUGGCACCAUGUCAUGGAGGGGCACUGCGGCCUGUGGCCCAAGGCGCAACAAUUUUUCUCGAUGCCCACAUAC